UACGAGGGGGGCAAGCGUUGUUCGGAAUUAUUGGGCGUAAAGGGUGCGUAGGCGGUGCGGUAAGUCUGUUGUGAAAUCUCCGGGCUCAACUCGGAGUCUGCAUCAGAAACUGCCGUGCUGGAGUGUGGGAGAGGUGAGUGGAAUUCACGGUGGAGCAGUGAAAUGCGUAGAUAUCGUGAGGAAGGCCAGUGGCGAAGGCGGGUCUCUGGGCCGUUACUGACGCUGAGGAGCGAAAGCGUGGGGAGCGAACAGG
rnacentral:rRNA from 1 species